CUAGAAAUGAGAUGUACUCCGUAUGCGAAGUAAAAAAGAACAUAUUGCAGUGGGAGGCUUGCAUCUGAUCGAACGCUUCGAACGAAAGUGAACGUCGAUAUUUUUGGAGAAAACCAAAUUCAGAAAUGAAUGUUCCAAAUUUACGUCCGAUUGUAAAACACGAUGGUGCUGGUGUGAUGUGAGAGUCUAAGGCUGCAAACGCAAGACAAUGACUCUAGGCAAAAUUGUAAAAAAAUGGUUAUUAUAUACUCGUAAUAAAAAACCUAAAAAGUCCUGACAACCUCAUCGAACAUUUGUGGGCGGAAAUAGGCAAGAAACUAAAAAAUUAUGAUAUAACUUCGAAAGAUGUAUUAAACAGAAAAUUGUAGAAAUAUGGAAUUCUAUUUAAUCUACAACAAAUCCAAAACUAGUGAACGGCAUGCAACAUCUUCUCAAAGCCAUAAUUGAAGCCAAAGGAGGUCCAACUAAAUAUUAAAUAAAAUAAAGUACGUAUAAUUAAUACCGUUUAAAUACUUUCGUGAUUCUGUUUCAAUACAUCAUUACAAUGAAUAUUACAUAACUUUUACAAAUAUUAUUCGAUUCUCUUCAAAUUUUGUAUAUAUAAUCUCGAUAGUUGCGUCUUGUAGUAGUUGCAACAUUACUUUCAGAACGUAAGUCUAACAUGUAUAUUAUUAUUACAUAAAGUUUUAAUAGCGAACGUUCGAAAACUUUCGUGAGCCACUAACAUUUACAUACGUUUAUAUAUCUUAUAAUUAGUGUACAAUCACGUAUGAAUUGUUUGAUUUUUUUGUUACGCUUCUUAUGAGAUAAAUACUUUACUCAUAUAUAUUGUACAUUAUUUGUAAGUACACAUCAUACACGUAUGCGUGCUUGCGUGUGCAUAAAUAUGCAUGCAAGAAAAAUGCUAUUAUUCCUUCUCGUGAAACAUAGAAUUUGUAUUUUACAAUUUCUUAAAUAACAUACAAACAACAUUGCUGUUGUCGUGAUUAUGAAAGUAAUCGCUUUGAUUCUAUUUCUUCGUGCUAUUUUUAAUAUUUUAAACAUAGAUCCAAUCGUAGAUAUUAUAAUUUAUUGUCAUUGUUAAUUCAAUUCCAAGACCAUUUGGUGGCGAUA